GAUGAACGCUAGCGACAGGCUUAACACAUGCAAGUCGAGGGGCAGCACGAUGUAGCAAUACAUUGGUGGCGACCGGCGCACGGGUGAGUAACGCGUAUGCAACCUACCUAUCAGAGGGGAAUAACCCGGCGAAAGUCGGACUAAUACCGCAUAAAACAGGGGUUCCACAUGGAAAUAUUUGUUAAAGAUUUAUCGCUGAUAGAUUGGCAUGCGUUCCAUUAGAUAGUUGGUGAGGUAACGGCUCACCAAGUCUACGAUGGAUAGGGGUUCUGAGAGGAAGGUCCCCCACACUGGUACUGAGACACGGACCAGACUCCUACGGGAGGCAGCAGUGAGGAAUAUUGGUCAAUGGGCGAGAGCCUGAACCAGCCAAGUCGCGUGAAGGAUGAAGGAUCUAUGGUUUGUAAACUUCUUUUAUAUGGGAAUAAAGUGAGGAACGUGUUCCUUUUUGUAUGUACCAUAUGAAUAAGCAUCGGCUAACUCCGUGCCAGCAGCCGCCGUAA
rnacentral:rRNA from 1 species